rnacentral:rRNA from 1 species
CAGCCGCCGCGGGAACACGGAGGAUCCGAGCGUUAUCCGGAAUUAUUGGGUUUAAAGGGUGCGUAGGCGGAUAGAUAAGUCAGUGGUGAAAGACGGUGGCUCAACCAUCGCAGUGCCGUUGAUACUGUUUAUCUUGAGUAUGGAUGAGGUAGGCGGAAUGUGGCAAGUAGCGGUGAAAUGCAUAGAUAUGCCACAGAACACCGAUUGCGAAGGCAGCUUACCAAGGCAAAAUUGACGCUGAGGCACGAAAGCGUGGGGAUCGAACAGGAUUAGAUACCCCGGUAGUCCCUGUCUCUUAUAA